CUUCAUUUCAGAGAAGAACCCUUUUUCCAAGGCCUUCAGAAUUACUUAUUGUUUGUAGGGCUGCCACAAGUGUAUCUCUGCUUUUUUAAACAAAAAAAAAAUUAUUUUCACUUUUCAACAUCCAUGUACUCCUGUGAUUUCAGGCUAUCCUCCCCUGCCCAAAUUGGUCCAAACUUACCUUGUUCCUAUCUAUUCCUAAGAAUUAGCUGAGAUACCUCAGACAUCACCUUGAGGACAUUUAUGAAGACCUCUGACUUUAGCUUUCCUCUAUGAGUGGUGCCCCUUGUCAGGAGGGGUCUGAGUCUGGAUGAUCUUACAUGGCUUCUCUUGGAAGCAAUGGGGACAAUUGUGUCUGCAAUGACCCUUGCAUUUGCAGAAGGUGCACUGGAAUACUUUGGUUCUCUUGUGCCUGUGCCUUGGCACUGCUUCCUCCGAUGGCAUAUUGCCUGCCUUCACAGGUGUCUGACUCCCACAAAGAAUCUGGAAUCUUGACUUGAAUCUCAGUUUUGGGACUAGCCAGAAAAUGGCCUGUGUUGAUAGCUGCAUUCAUACCACAUUGACGUCCCUUGAUUCUCCAGUACAGGAGUGGGCUGUUAGUGAAGGUGGCACCUCUCAGCAAUUCCACCCACUGCUCCUCCAGUUUCCUCUUCAAGUGCAGAAAGAGAAUGCAGCCCACAGUGAUCACAGAGCAUAGCUACAGCAAUUCAAAGUACAAUUUUCUCCCACACUGAGGAUGAAAAAAAUAAAGGAAAGUUGACUGACAGCUGUAGGUUGAGACCUGAACACUUACUGAACAUUUCACACAGACUUAAUCAGUUUGUUCCCAUACAGGAGGUGGAAGAGGUGUUUCAUCAGCACUAAUGCCAACAGGGGAGGGAUGCCUCAGUGCACCAAGAUGAAGCUGAUGUACUCUUUCCAUUUAGAAAAAGGCCACCUUAUACUUGAUUUGGAAUCUGGUGAAUUAAGGGAAGAAUGGGG
rnacentral:lncRNA from 1 species